GAUAAAUUUGCAAACGUUUAAUAACAAUAUUAUAGCGCGUACAUGAACAACAUGACAUCCGGGUGAUGCACAACUACAAUUUAUAAAUUGUAGCUGGUUUGCAUUAAUUUAUUUAGAAACUAGGGAAUUAACAUAGUAACAUACUACUAGCUAGUACUUAUUAAAAGACCGACCAAGUUGCCAUUAUCAGAACCUCAUGCCCACGCGCUUACGAUCGCCCCUCUUGCCCCUGCAUAUAAUAUAAUUCAUAUAAUUAAGAGAUGGCAAAUUAAAAUCAGGAAAUUAAAAAGAGUUGAUUUUUUUUAAUGUUUAAUUAAUUAAUUUUUUUUUAGGAAUUAAAUGGACCAACUUAAAUAAAGGGUCCAGAUUUUAAUUAUAGCAAUAAAAUCUGAGACAACAAAAAUAUUUAAAAAAUGAAUAUAUAUAUAUAUAUAUAUAUAUAUAUAUAUAUAUAUAUUUCUCAUGAAUACUAGGGUGGAGAAAAUGAAAUAUGAGGUCAUCAACCUCAAUGCUUUUCCAAGAAACUGCAAAUCUUUUUUCACCUUCUGCAGGUCUCUCUCGAAAGACU
rnacentral:lncRNA from 1 species